rnacentral:rRNA from 1 species
GACGAACGCUGGCGGCGUGCCUAAUACAUGCAAGUAGAACGCAGUUGCGAACGGGGGAGUAACGUGUAGGUAACUGCCCCAUAGCGGGGGAUAAACAUUGGAAACGAUAGGUAAAACCGCAUACUGUGGGACGGACCUGCUUUGUAUUAGCUUGUUGGUGAGGUAAAGGCUCACCAAGACGACGAUACAUAGCCGACCUGAGAGGGUGAUCGGCCACACGGGGACUGAGACACGGCCCAGACUCCUACGGGAGGCAGCAGUGGGGAAUCUUCGGCAAUGGGCGGAAGUCUGACCGAGCAACGCCGCGUGUGUGAAGAAGGUUUUCGGAUCGUAAAGCUCUGUUGUUAGAGAAGCGGUAUCUAACCAGAAAGCCACGGCUAACUACGUGCCAGCAGCCGCGGUAAUAC